CCCAAGCCCAACCAGCACCUAUCUACUACCUCCCCUGAUCCCCUCACUCUCUCCACUCCCAGACUCCCAGUCCACUCACGAUGGCAGAUCUCGGCGAGUCACCCACCCCACCGCCUCCGCUCUCGCCCAUACAGUCGGCGACCUCGUCUUGCACCGCCACCCCAUCUCAUCCCCUCCCCAACUCCCCUCCACUCAUCUGACGGCGGCUAGAGACGCACACAACCGGCGACCAACAUCAAACAAAGGUCGCCACCGCCGGCGGUGGAAGGACAGUCUUCUCCCACCGCUAGCCGCAGCCUCCGCCUCUCCCUGAUCCUCGGCCUCCUCGACCGCCGCUCGCUCUCCUAGGAAGCACCUCGCCGCCUCCCUGCCCAUGCCGUCUUCGCCGACUGCCCUGCUCGCGCCGACCUUGCGAAUCUCGCGGCCGCGCUUGGCAGUGCUCGACUUGUCCUCGCCGCCGCCAGCGGCGACGGGUCCUUCCCGUGCCUCUACCGCCUCGGGGCCGAGUCCUCCUCUCCCCAAAUCGACACCCGCCCCUUUGUCGAGCCUGCCGUGCCAGCGACAUGAGAAGGAUGGUGGCCGUCGAGGCUUCGGAUGCGGUCGACGCAGAUGAGAACAGUUCAUAGAGCCGUACCAGCCCAGCAUUCUGUUCAUGCCAAAUGAUUGAGUCCUGGUGAGGUUCAUUGCUGAACAUGCAUGGUCUCCGCAGGCAAGGAACACAUAAAAGUAAUUCAGUGUGUUAUUAGAAACUCAUGAGCAUGAAAGAGAAAUUUGGAUCAUGUUCGAACAUGGGUAGAGAGCAGAUCAAGGAGAACUUGAAGAUUAAAGGCAAUGAAAGGCCUGGGAGAUGAUCAGAUGGAUAUAAUGGAUGCAACAUGAACGCAAGAGAUAUGGCGAACUUGAAGGCAUGAAUAAGAAGGUACUUUAAUUCAAAGCAUCAACAGUCAAUCAUUGAGUUCCUCGACUUUAUUCUAUCUUGAACUUUAAGCAGAUCUUGAACUUUAAUCUAAACAUAGAACACAUUCAGCAAAAGGCACAUGUAGAGUGCCCGUUAGUGGUUACUACAGUUGGGUAUUUAUUGGUCUAAAUUGUACAGUGCGUUUUAUACAUGUCAAGCUGAAACCUGCACAAUGAUCCUCUUAUUCUACCCCACUGAACUACCGAUAAAUAUUGAUUAUACUGAACUCUGUUCUUUCUUUGUUGAAUAAGAACUCAUCUUUUCUCCUUUUUCCUUGGUGUUAGACCAACUGCUGUAGCAGUGGCUACUGUUUCUACUCCAAGAGUGGAAUCCUGAGUUCUGAUGUUAUGGAAUAUUCCUUUGGCAGGCUUAGGCUCGGUUAGAUUGCUUGUGAUGCCUGUCUUUCCUCUUUUACCUUGAUAUAUGUUUCAGACACAUGAGAACCUGGAACACAUAGCAAUGAUGGAGAGGGUUUUGGGACCCGUACCAGAGCACAUGAUAUGGAACGCUAGGUUCAUAUUUAUACCGUUAAUUUGAUUAUCAUUUUUUAAUUUCUCGUUGAGCUAUCAUUAACAAACAAAUUAUCUCCAUCUGUGUCCUCGAGGUCCAGGAUUACUUUUAGAACCAAACCCUUAUUAUUGGGCUUGUUUCUCAAGAGAAUGGCAAUAUCUCCACUUGUAUCCUGGAAGUCCAGGGUUUGAGUCAGUAUCCUUAAAAAAUCAAACAAGGGAAAUGUUGGGUAAGAACCUAAUAAUUCCCUUUCCCAGGACCCCACAACAAGUGGGAGCUUUUGAUUCUGGGAUAACCUUUGUUUAUAUUUUUGAGAGUGAAAUAUAUAUCAUUCUCCUUUGCACUAAAUCUUCUGCAUCAAAUGUUUUGAAGAACUCUGGCACGUCCUACCUGCAAAGAAAUAUUUCUUUUAUUUUUACACGCAGUCACAUUUUUUUUGGCUGUGGUUCCCUAAGUUCUACGGUUUAUAGUUGUUCACUGGUUUGCUACUUAGAAGUAGUUUUGGCUUGCAUCUAUUAUGUUAUUGAUUUGUAUUUUGUGAGUUUCACACCAUUGUCUUUGUGUAUAUAUGUAAAUUUCAGAUAUGUCUGUGUGCAUGUGCUGGCAGUGUGUAUGUGAUGGCUGUGUAUAUGAAAUCAUGUAAAUUUCACAUCUACUAUGUAGGUUCAUACCAUUGUAUUUCUGUAUGGAUGUAAAUUCCAGAUAUGUCUGUGUGUAUGUGCUGGCAGUGUGUAUGUGAUGACUGUGUAUAUGAAAUCAUGUAAAUUUCAGAUUUGCUAUGUAGGUUCAUACCA